AACACCUCAACUCCCUCUUUUCUUUUUUGAAAUGAGGGAGCUGGACUUGAGUGAUCCCAACACUUUUCUUCACUGAAAAGUGGCGGGUCACUUGAAAUGCAGGUGCAGCUGGACUUUUCUCUGAGCUAUAAGCAUAUCUAUUUAGUCUGCCUAAAAAACAGAUUAUUACCUUUGCUGCAGCUAACAUAAAGGAGAUGAGUUCUUGUGCUGACUGAUGCAGGAUUCACAGAGACAGCUUCGCGGCUGACUUUGUAA
rnacentral:misc_RNA from 1 species